GAUGAACGCUGGCGGCGUGCCUAAUACAUGCAAGUCGAGCGAACAGACGAGGAGCUUGCUCCUUUGACGUUAGCGGCGGACGGGUGAGUAACACGUGGGUAACCUACCUAUAAGACUGGGAUAACUUCGGGAAACCGGAGCUAAUACCGGAUAAUAUUUCGAACCGCAUGGUUCGAUAGUGAAAGAUGGCUCUGCUAUCACUUAUAGAUGGACCUGCGCCGUAUUAGCUAGUUGGUAAGGUAACGGCUUACCAAGGCAACGAUACGUAGCCGACCUGAGAGGGUGAUCGGCCACACUGGAACUGAGACACGGUCCAGACUCCUACGGGAGGCAGCAGUAGGGAAUCUUCCGCAAUGGGCGAAAGCCUGACGGAGCAACGCCGCGUGAGUGGUGAAGGUCUUCGGAUCGUAAAACUCUGUUAUUAGGGAAGAACAAACGUGUAAGUAACUGUGCACGUCUUGACGGUACCUAAUCAGAAAGCCACGGCUAACUACGUG
rnacentral:rRNA from 1 species